GUGGAGCGGUGAAAGGCUCAGUAACGGGCGAUUUAUUUGAUCUCCUGGGACGGACAACAUCGGGAAACUGAUGGGAAAACGUCUAAGUUGCAGUUUAUUGAUUGUGACGUAAACCUAUGUGUGCAGGAGAGUAAGAUGCCAUCCUAUCAGUUAGUAAGUAGGGUAAGGGCCUACUUAGACGAAGACGGGUACGGGGAAUGAGGGUUUGAUUCCGGAGAGGGAGCCUGAGAGAUGGCUACCAGGACCAAGGUCAGCAGCAGGCGCGAAAAUUAUCGAAGCCCGCCCAGGGGCGAUAGUGAGGAGACGUGUAUACGAAGUACGUGUAAAGACCGUACUAAUAACUGGAGGUCAAGUCUGGUGCCAGCAUCCGCGGUAAUUCCAGCUCCAGGGGUGUCUAUGAUGAUUGCUGCGAUUAAAAAGUCCGUAGUCGAGCUGACUGACUGACCUGCAAUGUGAUUGAUUAAAAGACGAGCAGGGUUAGGAAAGCAGAGAAUUAGGAGCGACCGAGGGCUAGAGUAUUGAAUGGCGAGAGGUGAAAUUUGAUGACCCAUUCAGGAGUGACAAAGGCGAAGGCACUAGUCAAGGGCGAAUCCGAUGAUCAAGGACGUAGGCUAGAGUUUCGAAAACGAUUAGAGACCGGAGUAGUUCUAGCAGUAAACUAUGCCGACACCGUGGUAUUAAAUUUUAGUAUUGCGGAAGAGAAAUCAAGUAAGGCUUUGGGGAGAGUACGCGCGCAAGCGAUAAAUUUAAAGGAAAUUGACGGAGGAACACCACAAGGAGUGGAGUGUGCGGCUUAAUUUGACUCAACGCGGGACAGCUUACCAGGCCCGAUAAUCGAGCGAGCGUAGUACGCGAUAGGUUAAAGAGUGGUGCAUGGCUGCUAUCGACAGUUGGGGUGACCUUAGGGUUAAUUCCGGCAAGUAGUGAGACCCCUGCAGAUAGUGGACAGGUAUUUUUAAGAUACAGGAAGGAAGGGACAAGAGCAGGUCAGUGAUGCCCUUAGAUGGCCUGGGCUGCACGCGCACUACAGUGGUCAUUAUAAGUAGAAAGUAG
rnacentral:rRNA from 1 species